rnacentral:lncRNA from 1 species
AGUAAAAUAAAAAUAAAAAAUAUGUACACAACAAAAAAAAAAGAUAUAUCUUUAUAUACAAGUAUAAUUAUACAAUUAAAUAUGAAUAGUCUUUAAAAUUUUAUUGUAAAUAUUUUACUUACUUUGUAAAUAAUUUUUUAAUUAAAAAUGGUUAAAUUAAAAAAAUCAAAUAAAAAAACAGUUAAAUUUUAUAAAAAGAGUCCCUAAACAAUCACUUAACACUAUAAAAACAAUUAAUUUUAGAGGGAUUAUUUUUUUCUAAAACCGCAGAUAUCGUUUUUUAUUAUUUUUUUAAAACUUAUUUUUAUUAAUUAGUAACACAUCGCGCCAUCGAAUAUUUCACCUAAUCUAAUCUAAUUUCAGGAUUUCAGGAAUACUUCGAACCCUAAUAUCCCCUCAUCGAAUUUUCUCCCAAACCCUUCCCCGCACCACAAUAUUCUUCUCUUGCUUGGCUUUGUUUUCGUCUUCUCUUUUGGCUGUGUGUUCGUCUUCUCCUACGAGGUGGAGGCGUCGAGGCAUUUGUGGGUUGAGCGAGUUCGAGGUGCUUUCGCGCGCUCCCGCACUGACCGUCAAGGUAAGACUGUGUUNGAUCUUGGCUCUCCAGUUUUGGCUCUCUCGUUCUUUGUUCGAUCUACUGAUGUUCAAUCUUUGUGUUGUAACUCAAAACAUUUUGUCUCUGUUUUUGGCUCUAUGAUUUUGGCACUUACAUAAAAAACCAGGAAUGUACUAGGCGAUUUCUAUCACUACAGUACAAAACAUUUUGUCUCCAACCCCUCAAACUCAAAUCCUCCCUGGUAUGUUCAUCUUAUCUCUUCAAUUUUCAUGGUUUAGUUGCACGGUUUUGACUAUGCUGCAAAAGCUAUAUUUGACUAGAUGAGUGCAUAUCCAGAUUAUUUAUGGCUUUAAGGAAAUUUUAGAAAACUUUUAAAAAGUAAGUAGAACUUUGAACCUUCUCAAAAGCACAUUUUUUAAACCUUCAGUUUAAUCUAAGAUUGAUUAAUCAAUGAAUCUAUUUUAGGAGAUAAAGUUCUAUUAUUUUCUUUCGGUUUAUAAGAUUCAAAUCCAAGUCCUUAUUUAAGUUGACUCGCCAAUUGAANUAAAAAGGACACUUUUAAAGAGAAUAAUUGUGUUUGAAAAGCCAUUCAACUCAAGUUUAAUAAAAAUUUUAGACAUUUUGUGGCAGAAACUCAGAGGAAGACAGGACCAGGAUUGGCUUUACAAUGAACUGAAUGUAAAUACAAACACAAACAAGUUUUGUAGGAUAGGAUUUANGUGUGAUCUAGUAUAAUAGGAUAGCACUCUAGAAUCCUUGCAAUGGAUCCUGUUUGGUGAGGAUAAGUAUUGAUGUUAAAAGACCAUUUCAGAUAUUAAAUUUUACAGGAAAUAAGUUUACUUUUUACUCAUCAAGUAUCCAAUGAUGGAUUGACAAUUAGGGGAAAGGCCUAUUGUUUCCAUCUCUUUGACUAAUGCUUUUGCAUGGUAAUAAUCAGUACCACAGGCCUUCAAUAAAAUAUUGUAUGUUGUUGUAGUUGGUGUGAAAGGGAACCUCUAUCCAAGAUGUGUGAAUUAGAAAUGCCAUUUGGCAUAGUAGUAACAUUAUGCACAAGUCCCUGCCCUAUAUUGUUGUUGCAGUCUUCACCAAAUGACCUUGACAUCUUUUUUCCCUUCCAAGAAUUGAAUUAAAUAAUUGAGUAAUUGAAUUCAAAGCUUGGAAUGUGUUUCUGUUUAACAACUUACUUUAUCUUAUUUAAUAAUUUAAAUAAUUGAAUAGUUCUGAGUCACUACACAUUCAACCGAUGUCUAAUGACAUUUAUUAAAAAAUUUUAAUUUAACAUAAAAUAAAUAACGAUGCAUAAUCACAUGGUAAAAAACUAUUAAUUAUAAUAGUUUUGAACUUAGAAAUAGAAUUACAUGUAUUUAUUAAGUAAAUUAAUUAGUUUUUAGAAAGAAGGAUCUUGAAGUUGAGUGAAGUUAACCUCAAAGUCUCCAAUUUCAUNGGNGUGACGUUUAGGAAUAGCAACAACCUCUUUUGAAUGAUAAAACUCGUCAAUUGAUUUCAUCAUUUCCUCAUAUGAUGGCAAUAACUUUUUCCCAGGAAGGAGUUGAGCUAUCCAUUUCCUCAUAGGAUCUGCACCACUUAUAUAUCAAACNUAUUAAUUUGCAUAAAAAAGGCAACUUCAUUAACUUUUUACAAAUAGAUUGAGAUUAAGACACUAUGUAACUGAUGUGGCAGACUAAAAGAUAAUUACCACAAUGCGAAUACGAGCUCUUUGCAUAUCUNCCUGACGUGGAAGUAACUCCACGGCAUCAGAUACACAAUGGACACCCUCAAUGGUUGUUCCCUCACUUAUGGCUAUUAAGUGCCUCUUGUAAAUUGAACCAUCGACUGUGGCAAUGUAUUUAUUUGAAUGUGAGAAUUUAUUUGAAUGCGGGACUUUCUUGGUCAAUUGGUCCUAGAAAUAUAAACUCCUAAAGAAUAACAUAUACCAUACAUUAAAUUAUGCAAUACAGUGUCAGAUUAGAAAAUGAUUGCCAUGGGACAAAGAGAAUCUAACUUCAAUCAUUCAGAGCAAGUAAAUAGUUAAACACAUAUUUUAGGAAAUAUGAAUCUACAAGCACCGUCUCAAUUAAAAGAAAUAUCAAGUUCAGAUUCAUUGGCUCAUAUUUUAGAAAGCCAAGAGCAUUCGCGGUCUAGGUUUGGAUCCUUGUCCAUCUAAAGUUGUUGGAGUCCGUGCUCGUUCUCAUAGUGGAUCAUCUUCGUCUACUCCUUCUAAUACUGAAUUACAAUCUCAGGUUAAUGAAUAUUUAAUAAAUGUUUACUUGGUUUGUUCCUUUUAAGAUUAACAUGUUAGAUAUCAUAUUUCUCACUUUUUAAAUAAAUUUUUCUGUUAUAGAUAUUUUCACUGACUUCUGCUAAUGUUCAAUUACAAUCUUAGGUUAAUGAAUAUUUAAUAAACAUUUACUUGGUUUGUUCCUUUUAAGAUUAACAUGUUAGGUAUAUUAUAUUUCUCACUUUUUAAUUAAAUAUUUGUAUUAUAGAUAUCUUCAUUGAUAUCACAAGUCAAUGAAAUGAAGGCAAUGAUGACACUUUUGUUGCAAAAUCAUCCAGGCUCAUUGUCUUCACAGUUUGCAGUAUUUCAACGAUCAUCAGUAAUAAUUGUUAAAUUUAUUUGUAUGAUUUUUUUUAUUAAAUAUAUUAUCAACUAACUAUUAUGUUAUAUUGUAGAUAUCUGAUUAAGGGAGUGUGCUAAACAAUAGAUGUAAUGAAGAAGAAGAAAAUUAGAUAUUGUUCAAAGUAAAAGGUUUUAUUUGAGAUGUUGGAUGUUAUUUGAGAUGGAUUACCACUGUAAAUGUUAUGCUUGCUAUGGUGUGAUCUUAUAGGUUUUCAAGUUAAUAAUAUACACAUCUUUUUAUAGUAGCAUUGAACUGAAUUGUCAUCAGUAGUUGCUGAACUGAUAAUCAAUUACAUUGAGAUCAUGACCCCUUAAUCUUAUUGAUCAUGACCCCAAAAAAAAUAAGAUCCUUAUGCUCAUGUUGUCUCUCAUUUCUAAAGAAUGUGAUAAGGGCUGGUAGUUUUUUUCAGUGUCAAUUCCUUUUGUACUUCUUUGGUUCAAAUUCAUAUGGACAAAUAAACUGAAAUUGUCUGAAACAUUUGAUCUAUUGAUUUGAUGCAAAUAUAAUUGUAACAUUUAUUCUUCCGUGUAGGAAAACUAUUAGUUAUUUUGUCUGGCUGAUUUGUUAAGACAAAAAUUAAAACUUGACCAUAACUAUUGAUAAAAAGACAAAAAUUAAGACUUGACCAAAACUAUUGAUAAA